rnacentral:rRNA from 1 species
AAAGACUUGACGGUACUUCACAUCAACCUAGAGGAGCCUGUCUAAUAACCGAUAUUCCACGAUCAAUCCAACCCGCCCUGGCCCAACAGUCUAUAUACCGCCGUCGCCAGCCUACCUUGUGAAAGUAACAAAGUGGGCUAAAUAAUCAUUCACUAACACGACAGGUCGAGGUGUAACUCAUGGGCGGGACCAAGAUGGGCUACAUUUUCUAUCACAGAAAAUACGAAUAAACUAUGAAACAAGAAACUGAAGGCGGAUUUAGCAGUACACUGAGAACAAGAUACUCA